rnacentral:misc_RNA from 1 species
AAAAAGCGUGAACUUCGUUUUUGGAUUUGCCACGUUUGUAUGGUCAUUUCAAUCCUCGUCAGCAAUGGAACAACAUAGACUUUCACUGAAUUUAUCUUGCAUAUAAGCAAUGAUUGCGUGGUAUUCAUUUAGUAUAUGUAGAAGUUGUUUACUACAAGAUUUAGAGAACGCAAGUUAAUUCCGUCGUGAGAAGUUAUCCACAACCUCAAGGAAUAUGAUUGGUAGGCCUAUAAAGAUCUUCAGAAUAUGGGUGUGGACCAAGCAGCUAGCGUGGCUUUUUGCAAACUCACACAAAGUGAGGCCCUGAAAGGGGUGUACCUGUAGCAAAUGUGCCAGAAUGGCUACCUUUUUGGAAUGUGGUUGUUGCCAGGAAAGUGACCUAGUUAGAGAAAAAGCUGGUGACCUACAGUGCAUCACACAUCAUGAACGUUUCAUUGAAAUCUGCCUAAAUAGACAUGUCCUUGGGGCAUCAUAUUUUGAAUUUGUUGAGACUGAAGGAUAUCCUCUUGAGGGACAGUUUAUUCACGAGUAAGAUUAAAAAAACCACUCGCCUUACAACACAUCAUUAAAGAAUAAGUAACAUGCUUAUAAAUAAUAUUGACCCUUACCAUGCUUAAUUUUUAUAAUGAACGUGUCUAUCUUUCAAUUUGGUGGUGCCAUUAAACGAUUAAAAGGGGUGGAUACAAAAUAAGAUACUGAUUAAAUGGCGAACAGCGCAGAUCUUGAUCAGAUUGCACGGGUGUGCAGGCUGUUCAUGAUCUGCACUGGUCGCAGAGGCAGAAUCAAUCGUGUCCAGCAUUAUAAGGGUUCAGUUUAUAAAAAACGUUUAUUUCAGCAAUUAAUGAAACAUACAUCAACAAGAAUUUGUAACUUCUAAGUUUGACCUUGACCUCGGAGCUAGGGGUCUGGGUCUUGUGCAUGACACGUCACCUCAUUAUAGGGAACUUUAUGCCAUGUAAUUUUAAAAUCC